AACGCACGAGACCUGCGGACCUGCGGAGGGAUCAUUACCGAGUUAUCCAACUCCCAACCCCUGUGAAUCAUACCUUUAAUUGUUGCUUCGGCGGGACUUCGCGCCCGCCGGGGACCCAAACCUUCUGAAUUUUUUAAUAAGUAUCUUCUGAGUGGUUAAAAAAAAUGAAUCAAAACUUUCAACAAUGGAUCUCU
rnacentral:misc_RNA from 1 species